ACCCUCUUUUGGGCACACACACACACACGUUCUCUCUCUUCCCCCAACUCCCACUCCGAUAAGUCUUUUAGAAAUAGUGGAAUAGAAAUAGCCUCUGAAGUGGACAGCCCUCUCUCAAGCUGGCGAAGGACUUCCUGACUCACCGCAAUGUUCUGAUCCCGGGUCUGGAAAGAUCCUUGGGGAAAGAAUAUGGCAAGGCUGACGCAAGAUGGCUGUAUUUUGAUCCAACCAUUGUGUCUUUGGAAAUCCUGACUGUUGUCUUGGAUGGGUUCCUGGCAUUGGUCCUCAUUUACGCCAUAGUCAAGGAGAAGUAUUACAG
rnacentral:lncRNA from 1 species